AUCGUCAAGCAUAAGACUCGCUUAGUGGCACGCGAUUUUUUACAGCAGGAGGGGAUCGACUUCGACGAUGCUUUCCCCCCGUGGCACGGAUGGAAUCCGUGCGACUCCUCCUUGCGCUGUCAGCCUAGGUGGGCUGGCACGUUCAUCACAUGGACGUCAAGUCGGCGUUUCUUAACGGCGAUUUAAAGGAGGAGGCCUAUGUAUACCAGCCGCCAGGUUUUGCGAUCUCUGGCAAGGAGGGCAAGGUGUUGCGACAGGCACCGAGGGCGUGGAAUGUCAAGCUGGACUCCACGCUCAAGAGGAUGAGCUUCAUGCUAAGCCCGCAUGAGGCGGCCAUCUAUCGGCGGGGCAAUGGAGAAAAUGCCCUGCUGGUAGGUGUCUACGUCGACGAUUUGGUGAUCACCAGCGUCAAGGAUGCAGAGGUGACGACGUUUAAGGAAGAGAUGAAGGCUAUCUUCCAGAUGAGUGACCUGGGGCAUCUCUCCUUCUACCUAGGGAUUGAGGUGCACCAGAGUGACUCUGGGAUCACACUUCGCCAUACCGCCUACGCCAAGCGCAUUGUUGAGCUGGCUGGGCUCACUAAUUGCAACCCAGCUCUCACUCCGAUGGAGGAGAGGCUGAAGCUGAGCCGUGAUAGCACGACGGAGGAGGUGGACGCUACUCAGUACCGGCGUCUUGUGGGGAGUCUUCGCUACCUCGUCCACACACGAUCGGAUCUGGCAUACUCCGUUGGCUACGUUAGUCGGUUCCUGCAGCAACCGACGAUGGAGCAUGAGCAGGCUGUGAAGAGGAUCGUCCGCUAUGUUACGGGGACUCUUGACCACAGUCUCUACUACCCGAGGUGCCCUGGGGAGGCACACCUUGUCGGGUACAGCAACCACGCCGGCGACAUCGACACCAGCAAGAGCACAAGCGAGAUCCUCUUCUUCCUCGGCAAGUGCCCCAUCAGCUGGCAGUCGGUCAAGCAGCAGGUGGUGGCCAUGUCCAGCUGCGAGGCCGAGUACAUAGCAGCCUCCACCGCUUCAACUCAGGCGCUCUGGCUUGCUCGCCUGCUCAGUGAUCUCCUCGGGAGAGACGUUGGAGCAGUGGAACUCCGGGUGGACAGCCAGUCUGCCCUGACGUUGGUUAAGAACCCCGUGUUCCAUGAACGAAACAAGCACAUCCGGGUGAGGUACCACUUCAUCCGUGACUGUUUGGCAGAAGGGAGCAUCAAGGCGCGCUACAUCAACCCCAAGGAUCAGCUUGCAGACCUGCUCACCAAGCCCCUUGGGAGGAUCAAGUUUCUUGAGCUUUGCUCUAGGUCCGGGAUGGCCCAACAAGACGACACACAAGACUUAGGGGGAGAAUUGUUGGAAUAAGUCUCGUGGUCUGUGGGAAGGACAACAGCAGUCCUUAGCGGUUUUUGACUGCAGGGACAACAGCAUCUCAAUCUUUUUGACUGCAAGGACAACGUGGGACAGCAACAGCAUGUCAAUCUUUUGACUGCAAGGACAGCGCGCUGCAGUCAUCUCCUUUUCGCUUUUCUAGCUUUUGGAGGACAUCAGUUUGCUGCAGUUUUCUUUUGACUAGAGUACAACACCUAGUGGUUAGUGCAGUUUGUAGGACAGGUAGUGCAGUUUGUAGGAUAGCAUAUUCACAUCUCUAGGAAGCAUAUGCUGCAGCCCCUUGGGCUAUAAAUAUGUAUCCCAACCCUUAGACGGGUAUGACAUUGUGUAGUGUUUGAGAAAAUAAACAGAAAAUCGCCCCAACCCAUAGUGUCAUCCUCUCGAUGAGAGUAAGAGUCCUGUUGCUUACAGAUUGUGCCGCCACAGUCGUCUAUCAUCUUUACGAUCACUUCUAGGAGAAGGGGAAUCCGGUGGUGAGGAAGGAGGAACCAUCAGCGGAGCUGAUCCAGACAUUAGAAAGACUGCAAUCUUGAUCGGGUAGAACAAUGUGCGGGUCUCCAACGGUGCACCAUCCAACUAGAGCAUCAAUUCUUCAAUGUGUAGAUUCACAGCCUGGUGAAUAAGCUCAAGGUGGGCACACCAGACACUAAGCUUGAAGGAAGAGAAAUCAGGAGAGGAUUUUGUGUCUGAAUGCAGCCUCUGGAUCAUGCAGGAGUCAUGAAGGAGUAGCUCCACUAAUUCUUUGCUCCAGACGUGCUCUGGGACUCCCAGUUGCUCAAUGUCGACCAGGAUUGGAAGCGAAGCUCCACGAGCCACACAGGAUUGGCGCGUCCACCGCCGAAGGUGUAAGCGCAAAGUUGAAGUGAUGAACGACCUUCCCCCGUUGUAGACUCGCAGCGCCAUACUCUCGUUGGGGAGGAUGAGAAUGUAGGCGUCCGACGAAGCUCGACGGAGAUUGAGUGCACCAACCUCUAGGUUGAACCUUGCGGCGAGCACAUUAGAAAUCUCUGGGAUGUCGACCAUUUGAUUAUCUCCGAUGACCGUGAUAAGCAGAGCGCGCCGUCUUCCAUGUGGUUGAUCGCGGUGGAGCGUUGGAGGAAAUGCACUAGACACACAGGACGCUCUGGGGACACAUGAACAGGGGAGUGCGGCACCGGGUUGGAGUCACCAGACGCCCCAUGACUAGCUCCCUGCCGCCUGCGCCCACACCUAGUCGUCUUGCGUGGAGGAUCGUUAGGAACAAAGAGGCAUCCACCCUGUCCCUUGCGGCGUCACGACCAAUGGCUGUAGAGGUCGUUGGGAUGAGAAGUUGUAGAGGACACAUGGCGCCAGACCAUUACAUGACGCGACAUGGAGAAGUCUCGUCUAGGUGCGCGAGCUCGGGCCACUGGCUGCUCGACUACCGACCUCCUCGGGCACACGUAAGAACGAUGCCCAAGCGUGAGGCAGCGAAAGCAGCGCGUACGACACUGGCAAACAACCGCACUGUGGGAUGGCGAAGGGCAAUUGAAGCACUUCCCUAAAGGUCUUCAGGAAUCCUCUUGAUAGGGUGCUCCUGUGGACGCCCAAACGACGAGGCUUCACACUUCUAAAGCUACCAUCUCUCAAAAGGAUCUUGUAUUGCCACCAAGGGUACUAUCGGUUUUUUGUGUUAGAGUGGACACACUAACCAGUUCAACCCAAAAGCUUGAGCUGAUGAGAGAAGGUAGUCAAUCCACUUAUACACUUCAGCACCCCCACUCACGUGCAGCCAAAGAGAAAGACAUAAACACCGCCAGAGAGAAAGGCACAACCGUGGAAAUAAAUGGGUGGAGGCACAAAUAAAGCCUCUGCGGGGCGAGGCCGCGAGGCAGAGGCCGCCUAGGGCCUCCGUGAUGGUGUCAAGGUCGCCGGGCGGAAGGGGUCGGUCUUUCGGGGCCCUGACCAUCUCCCCUUCGUCGUUGAUAAUAAAGUCGAGGCUCCCGAAAUGGAUGGUCGUUCCGGGGGUCCAAACGACGUCGCGACCGACCAUCUGGAGCUUGGAGAAUGCGUCGAGAUCGCGCACGAACCCCUACCUGGCGCGCCAACUGUGUUUUGAACCAGCUCCGACAAGUAAAUUUGUUUGUGCGUGUUCUGGGGUCCGGUUGGUGAGCCCGAUGGUCUCGGGAUUUAUACUGGUUCGGACAGAACGUCCCUACAUCCAGUCUUUGGUGGCUCGCGCUACCGACACCUUUAUUGCUCAAUGCUUGUAGUAGGUGUUACAAGCGGGCGAGGGGGGAGGAGGCUCCCAAGUCUUGUGUGUGGAGUGGCCUAAGUACUACGAAUCUGGUGCUCUCAACCUAGCUAAGCCUUGGGCUUCGUGGCGGCGCGCUCGACUCCGGCCUCUGUAGUCUUCCGACGUGUGGUUGUCCGCAUAUCGUGUGCGUCUCUCCUUUUCCUUCGUGCUCGAUCCUCCUUUUAUAGGCUAAGGUGGGGGUCGGUUACCAGUAGCUUCUUAAGGAAGAGCUAUUGCGCCGUGGUAAAACGGGGCGUUCUACCUCAGUAAAGUUGUGCUUGUCCGUAUGUGCCUCAGUUGUCUAGGCUUCUCUGGCCGCACUCUUUAUAGGCUAAGGUGAGGGCGGCAGCAGGCGGCGGUGGCAGGCAAUUGCGGUGCGUCCCGCCGCCUCCGCUCACCCUGCGGUCGAUGAGCUCCAAGGCGCGGUCCUGCCUCCAGUCGUUGCAGCUGCUCGCCAUCACCCGCCGCAGCCUAGACGAGUGGCCCAAGGCUGGCUCUGACAACGUCGGCGAGUGGCCCAACCCCACCACGCUCGACGCAUCCAAGGCGGGCGGCGGACCAUCCUCCGCCAGGCCCGGGGAGGGGCUCCGGCUCGACCUCUCCUCGCUCCGCUCGCAGGGACGCAAGGACCAGAUCGCCUUCUUCGACAAGGAGUGCUCCAAGGUCCUCUGUGGCGACGCGGUCGUCAAGAACCGCGACAUCCUGAGGAAGAACGACAUCACCCACGUUCUCAACUGCGUGGGCUUCGUCUGCCCGGAGUACUUCAAGUCUGACCUUGUCUACCGCACCCUCUAGCUGCAGGACAGCCCCACCGAGGACAUCACCAGCAUCCUGUACGACGUGUUUGAUUAUUUUGAGGACAUCAGGGAGCAGGGUGGCCGCGUGUUUGUGCAUUGCUGCCAGGGGAGGGGCUCCGGCUCGACCUCUCCUCGCUCCGCUCUCAGGGACGCAAGGACCAGAUCGCCUUCUUUGACAAGGAGUGCUCCAAGGUCGCCGACCAUGUAUACCUCGGCGGCGACGCCGUCGCCAAGAACCGCGACAUCCUCAGGAAGAACGGCAUCACCCACGUUCUCAACUGUGUGGGCUUCGUCUGCCCGGAGUACUUCAAGUCUGACCUUGUCUACCGCACCCUCUGGCUGCAGGACAGCCCCACCGAGGACAUCACCAGCAUCCUGUACGACGUGUUUGAUUACUUUGAGGAUGUCAGGGAGCAGCGUGGCCGCGUGUUUGUGCAUUGCUGCCAGGGGGUGUCGCGCUCCACGUCGCUGGUCAUCGCCUACUUGAUGUGGAGGGAAGGCCAGAGCUUCGAUGACGCCUUCCAGUUUGUCAAGGCUGCCCGGGGGAUUGCGAACCCAAACAUGGGCUUUGCUUGCCAGCUUCUCCAGUGCCAGAAACGGGUGCAUGUGAUUCCGUUGUCUCCAAAUUCAGUGCUCAGGAUGUACCGCAUGGCGCCGCACUCCCAGUAUGCCCCUCUGCAUUUGGUGCCCAAAAUGCUCAAUGACCCAUCCCCUGCCGCACUGGACUCUAGAGGCGCCUUCAUUGUACACGUUCUGUUGUCCAUCUAUGUCUGGGUUGGGAUGAAGUGUGAUCCGGUAAUGGAGAAGGAUGCAAAAGCUGCUGCGUUUCAGGUAGUGAGGUACGAGAAGGUGCAGGGGCACAUCAAGGUUGUGAGAGAAGGUUUGGAGCCACAAGAGUUUUGGGAUGCAUUUUCAAGUACGCUGCCUAAUUCAGAUACUAAUACAAAGAUUAGCAAGGACCAGAUCGAUUCAGCAUCCAAGAGUAACCCAGGAAGCCGGAUAAUUGAGUCUUAUGACGCUGAUUUUGAGCUUGUCUAUAAGGCAAUCACCGGGGGAGUGGUUCCAGCGUUCUCAACUUCUGGGGCUGGGGACGAGACCCACCUUCCAGCCAGAGAGAGUAGCUGGAGUUUACUGAGGCACAAGUUCAUCUCCAGGUCGCUAGCUCGUGUUUAUUCAUAUUCUGCUCUAAUCAGGGAUUUUGAUCCACGGGUAGACCGUGUACAGCACCUGGCUGCUGAGGCAUCGACCUCACCUCCUUUCCUUUCUCCAAGCUCCUUCUCAUCGGAUUCAAGCGCCAGCUCGAAGUAUAAUUCAGAUUCACCCUCCUUAUCACCUACAACUAGCUCCCCGCCAUCAUUUGGCCUCUCGCCUGCUUCAUCUAAUCUGCCUCAAGCUCUUGUGCCAUCGUCCAGGUCUCCUCUUUCUCAAUCAUCUAAUGCAGGGGCUUCAAAGCCUUCUGGCCUGGAAUCAAUACGCCAUCCUUCCAAGACCUCUUCUAUAGCAGAAAGAAGAGGAGGCUUCACACUUCUAAAGCUACCAUCUCUCCAAAAGGACCUUGUAUUGCCACCAAGGGUACCGUCUAGUAUUCGCAGAACUGACGAGGCCUUGGAUAAGAGUUGUACAAAUGGUGUCAAAAGGCCGACUGGUGAUUUUCGCUCAGAAAAAUGCACUGAUAAUAGUUCAAGCUUGCAUUCCGAAACCAGAUUAACUGAGCGUACUGACAGUAACUCAGAAGCUUGCAGUAAUGUGCAACUGUUGGUUUACCAGUGGCCCAGCAUGGAAAAGCUAACUACGUUUGCACGCAAGGAUCUUGACUCAAACUCGGUUUUGAUUUUUGUUACAUCGAAUGCCAUCAGAAGAGAAGCAGUUAAAAUGGUGUAUGUGUGGGUAGGAGGCGAAAUUGAAAGCAGCAAGAGUGUUAAUGCUGUUGAUUGGCAACAGGUCACUGGUGAUUUUCUUCAUCGAAAAGGCCUCAGCGAUGCUCUUCCUAUAAAGGUUUUCAAGGAGCAUGAAACAGAGAAUCUUUUGGAACUACUGAAUUUUAGUUAACAUUAGGCGGUAGCUAUCAGGAUAUUGUAGUUGCUUAACAAACUCACCCACCCCACAAAUUGUCAUUCAACGAAGGCAUGCCCUCCAGCAUCAGUCGGUACCGAUGAUUGUCAGCGAGGUAUAAAGCCUCUACCAUCCCCUUCCCUUGAACAUAACAGGCCCUACAGACAGAUUCCAUUUUAGUAGAAGCGGUGGAUCGACAACUGCGCCUCGUUGGUCUAUCUUUUGUCCAAAUGGCAGGAUGCUGCCAAUGGGCGUUGUAAGCGCAAUCAGCCAAUUGGGUGGUAAUGUAAGCUUUAGCUUUAGAUACUGGGAGAUGGUCUGUCAACAGUUACUUUUAGCCUAAACAUUCUUGUACAUCUUUGAAAGUGAACAGAUUUGUAAUCCUUGUGGCAUAUAAAUGGUAACAUUGU